GGCUGGUCCGAUGGUAGCGGGUUAUCAGAACCUAUUAACAGUAGUGUCACUAAAGUUAGUAUACAACCCCCAACUGCUAAAUAUGAGUGGCUUUUA
ensembl:misc_RNA RNY4P17 RNY4 pseudogene 17